CCUACGGGAGGCAGCAGUGAGGAAUAUUGGUCAAUGGACGCAAGUCUGAACCAGCCAUGCCGCGUGCAGGAAGACGGCUCUAUGAGUUGUAAACUGCUUUUGUACGAGGGUAAACGCAGAUACGUGGAUCUGUCUGAAAGUAUCGUACGAAUAAGGAACGGCUAACUACGUGCCAGCAGCCGCGGUAAUACGGAGGAUUCAAGCGUUCUCCGGAUUUAUGGGGUUUAAAGGGUGCGUAGGCGGGCGGAUAAGUUAGAGGGGAAAUCCCGUGGCUCAACGUCGGAAUUGCCUCUGAUACUGUUCGGCUAGCUCGUAGUUGCUGUAGGCGGAAUG
rnacentral:rRNA from 1 species